rnacentral:lncRNA from 1 species
CAGAUUUCUUCUCCCUCGUUCUCCCUCUCUCUCUCUCCCUUUCCUUUCUCUGUGAUCUCUCUCACCCGUCUGUAUUUUCUUCUCCCCAACAACCUAGACUACCCCCAGCAUCAGUGGCAACCUAGGCCCCACUCCCACCCCCAGCCGAACCCAACCCACCCCUCUCUCUGCAAAUUCAAAAACCAACAAAUUAAAAGAAAAAAAAUUCAUUGUUUUUGUUGUUUUGUACUCGAAGGUCUGCAACCAAAUUUGAUGGCUUCCGAAUUCAGCAAGAUAAAGAUGGUGGGUUGUAGCUGCUGGAGGUUCGACAGAAAGAGAGGCCAGGGCUCAUUUGGGUUGUCGACGACUGUGCGGAGGGUUGGGGCUGCUGGGUUUAAGGGCUAGGGGUGGGAGUAGGGCUUGGGUUGCGGCUGGAAGUGGGGGUGGUCUGAGUUUUAUACAGCCCAUGUUUCUAAAAUUGGUGUAACAGAUUGGCAUGCACAGAAAGAUUAAUUGAAUCUUUGUUUUGUCUUGCUAAAAGUGGAAGAUGUUGGAUUGAGGCACAGAUGUGGCAAAGGUUGAAGUUGGUGGGGUAACGAAUUCAGCACAGAAUUUCAGGGGUGGAACUUGGGUCUGCGUGAGAAGGGCAGUUGUUGUGGUUGUGGUGAUGGCGACUGGGAAGGGAUAAUGGGGUUAGGGAGGGGAAUUGGGGAUUUUUUUUGUUUUAAAGAAUUAUUUUUAUUUUUAAUAGUUAAAUUAAGAAUUUUAAAAGACAAUUUUUAAUUUUUUUUUUCUU